rnacentral:rRNA from 1 species
UACGAAGGGGGCAAGCGUUGUUCGGAAUUACUGGGCGUAAAGCGCACGUAGGCGGUCUUUUAAGUCGGGGGUGAAAUCCUGGAGCUCAACUCCAGAACUGCCUUCGAUACUGGAAGACUUGAGUCCGGGAGAGGUGAGUGGAACUGCGAGUGUAGAGGUGAAAUUCGUAGAUAUUCGCAAGAACACCAGUGGCGAAGGCGGCUCACUGGCCCGGUACUGACGCUGAGGUGCGAAAGCGUGGGGAGCAAACAGG